AGCGAACGCUGGCGGCAGGCUUAACACAUGCAAGUCGAACGGGCGUAGCAAUACGUCAGUGGCAGACGGGUGAGUAACACGUGGGAACGUACCUCUUGGUUCGGAACAACACAGGGAAACUUGUGCUAAUACCGGAUAAGCCCUUACGGGGAAAGAUUUAUCGCCGAGAGAUCGGCCCGCGUCUGAUUAGCUAGUUGGUAGGGUAAGGGCCUACCAAGGCGACGAUCAGUAGCUGGUCUGAGAGGAUGAUCAGCCACAUUGGGACUGAGACACGGCCCAAACUCCUACGGGAGGCAGCAGUGGGGAAUAUUGGACAAUGGGGGCAACCCUGAUCCAGCCAUGCCGCGUGAGUGAUGAAGGCCCUAGGGUUGUAAAGCUCUUUUGUGCGGGAAGAUAAUGACGGUACCGCAAGAAUAAGCCCCGGCUAACUUCGUGCCAGCCGCCGCCGUAA
rnacentral:rRNA from 1 species